GCGUCGGUACUCAAGUGGUCAACGAGGAUGGUCUGUAAAACCAUUGGCACCGCCUACGAAGGUUCGAAUCCUUCCCGACGCA
rnacentral:tRNA from 3 species